AAGUCUUCUCCCAUGCUCCACGAUAGACAGAAUGGCCUUCAUUUACAUGUUAAAAAAUGGGUGUGUUGCCAGUCUAGGAAAGUUCUCUGAGAACUUUAACUCUAUUAUUAUGGAAUCUUGGAAACAGUGCCUGGCUACAGUAGAAUGGAUAGUGUCUUUCUACAGAAAGAACAAUCAAUAAAGACUACUAAAAGGAAAAAGGCUAAGUACCGUAGAUUCUUAAAUGAAAAUUGAUUUCCACCAUUGACCAUGGAACAAGCUCAUCAGUAACAUCGCAUUUAGAGGCAAUCUAAUUGUUUCUUCUUAAGGCUGUGAGCUUCAUUUUGCUUGAGACGUGGUCUAUCCUAUUGACGAUAAAAACCCAAGUUAACAUGAUAGAGCAAGCACACAAUAACUAUUGGUUGAAGAAACUAACAAAUUAUAUUUGACACCCACAUCACCAAUUAAUUGUCAAGAUCAAAUUCUACGGUACAUUAGCUAUUAAAAGCACUGAGAAUGUGAGAAGAACAUGAAUUAAACUUUGCAGCUCUGUGAAGAAAAGCUUCAUGUGGCAUUACUUGGUCUUUUUGAAAAGACAAGUGAAGAGGAAGGGGAGAAGAAGAGGAAAAAGUGGGAGGAGGGAGGAAAAGGAAGUGGAAUAAAUGGAAAAGAAGUUCACUGAAACUAGGCUGGAGUGCAAUGGCGCGAUCUCGGCUCACUGCAACCUCUGCCUCCCAGGUUCAGGCAAUUCUCCUGCCUCAGCAUCCUGGGUAGCUGGGAUUACAGGUUUAAGAAAGAAGAAAAUUGUGUUCUCUGCAGCAUGGAUAGAGCUGGAGGCGAUUAUUGUAAGCAGAUUAACUCAGGGACAGAAAACCAAAUACCACAUGGUCUCACCUGUAAGAGACUUAAUGCUGGAGCCAUGUGCCUGGAAUGCUGAGGUUGCAUUUCCUCUGUUUUCCUGACUUAGCUUCCUUUAAAUUCCCCCUCAUCAUUCAAGGAAAGUCCACGAAAAAAGUAAGUGGUAAAUACAUACUUCCCUUGUUUCUGGGGUUCAUGGGGAUUUGAAAUGAUAAGCCCAGUUACUCCUCAGGGCUUAAGAAUUAAUUACAACUUCAGGUUAGCACUUGUGACUUGCAUCUAUGGUGGUUUCCUCUUCUUUCCAUGGAUUUGGCAAAGAUGUUGCAAUGUGGUAUCUGUCUCUCCUAGAAAGCGUUUGUCUCUUCUUGUAGUUUGGUUAUUAUGUUACUUAGUGAACGAAGCCCUCUGGGGCAUUAAAAUAUUUAUAGUUUUGUAGAUUUUAUAAUUUGUCUAGUUAGAAAGUGAACUGUAUUAUCCUACUACUUUUCAUGGCUUCAGCAGUGCAUCUUUUUCAUUAUUGGGUACUGAAUAUUUUCCUUAAUAUGUAGAAAACCAAGUUCUAUUUAAAAUAAUGCUUUCUUAGUUAUCCAGAUUUUCUGUAUUGCAGUUCCUCCCACUACCAGAGUAUCUACUACAAACUAUGGAUGGGAAAUUAAAGUCAUCCUCAUCUUUUAAAGCAGAGUCUAUAGAUAUUGCCUAAAAUUGAUUAAAGUUAAAAGGAUAUUACUUUUAAUAUUAGUCAGGAUAGUGUGUUUAACUGUCAGAGGAAUUAAAAC
rnacentral:lncRNA from 13 species